CUCCAGACUCCUACGGGAGGCAGCAGUGGGGAAUAUUGCACAAUGGGGGAAACCCUGAUGCAGCGACGCCGCGUGAGCGAUGAAGUAUUUCGGUAUGUAAAGCUCUAUCAGCAGGGAAGAAGAUGACGGUACCUGACUAAGAAGCCCCGGCUAACUACGUGCCAGCAGCCGCGGUAAUACGUAGGGGGCAAGCGUUAUCCGGAUUUACUGGGUGUAAAGGGAGCGUAGACGGCGAUGCAAGCCAGAUGUGAAAGCCCGGGGCUCAACCCCGGGACUGCAUUUGGAACUGUGUGGCUGGAGUGUCGGAGAGGCAGGCGGAAUUCCUAGUGUAGCGGUGAAAUGCGUAGAUAUUAGGAGGAACACCAGUGGCGAAGGCGGCCUGCUGGACGAUGACUGACGUUGAGGCUCGAAAGCGUGGGGAGCAAACAGGAUUAGAUACCCGAGUAU
rnacentral:rRNA from 1 species